rnacentral:rRNA from 1 species
AGAGUUUGAUCCUGGCUCAGGAUGAACGCUGGCGGCGUGCCUAAUACAUGCAAGUCGAACGCACAGCGAAAGGUGCUUGCACCUUUCAAGUGAGUGGCGAACGGGUGAGUAACACGUGGACAACCUGCCUCAAGGCUGGGGAUAACAUUUGGAAACAGAUGCUAAUACCGAAUAAAACUCAGUGUCGCAUGACACAAAGUUAAAAGGCGCUUUGGCGUCACCUAGAGAUGGAUCCGCGGUGCAUUAGUUAGUUGGUGGGGUAAAGGCCUACCAAGACAAUGAUGCAUAGCCGAGUUGAGAGACUGAUCGGCCACAUUGGGACUGAGACACAGCCCAAACUCCUACGGGAGGCUGCAGUAGGGAAUCUUCCACAAUGGGCGAAAGCCUGAUGGAGCAACGCCGCGUGUGUGAUGAAGGCUUUCGGGUCGUAAAGCACUGUUGUAUGGGAAGAACAGCUAGAAUAGGGAAUGAUUUUAGUUUGACGGUACCAUACCAGAAAGGGACGGCUAAAUACGUGCCAGCAGCCGCGGUAAUACGUAUGUCCCGAGCGUUAUCCGGAUUUAUUGGGCGUAAAGCGAGCGCAGACGGUUGAUUAAGUCUGAUGUGAAAGCCCGGAG